CUGCCUGCCCAGUGACAAAAGUUAAACGGCCGCGGUAUCUUGACCGUGCGAAGGUAGCAUAAUCACUUGUCUCCUAAAUAGAGACUGGUAUGAAUGGCAAGACGGAGCCUAACUGUCUCCUCCUCUCGAAUCCGAAAUUCACAAUUCCGUGAAGAGGCGGAAAUUAUUUCGCAAGACGAGAAGACCCUGUCGAGCUGUAGUAAAGCUCUAACUCCUGUUGUUUUUAAACCUCAACUAAUAAAAUAAAAUUAGUGAUCGUAAGAAAUACAGAAGAUUAGAGGUAACUUUGAUUGGGGCAAUCAUGGAGAAAGAAAACCCUCCAGUACUUUAUAGAUUUUAAUUUAAUAAAUAAGAGAUAUUCCUCUAAAAUCACAGAAAUGAAGGUAUGAUCCACUCACAGUGAUCAAAAGAACAAGUUACCGCAGGGAUAACAGCGUUAUCUUUUUUGAGAGUUCAUAUUGACAAAAAGGUUUGCGACCUCGAUGUUGGAUCGGGGCAUCCUAAGGGUGCAGAACUCUUAAGGGUUGGUCUGUUCGACCAUUAAAGUCCUACGUGAUCUG
rnacentral:rRNA from 1 species